rnacentral:rRNA from 1 species
CUAGCGGCGAACGGGUGAGUAACACGUGGGCAACCUGCCCUCAGCUCUGGGAUAACUCCGGGAAAUCGGAGCUAAUACUGGAUAUGACUGCUGACCGCAUGGUCUGGUGGUGGAAAGAUUUAUCGGCUGAGGAUGGGCCCGCGGCCUAUCAGCUUGUUGGUGGGGUCACGGCCCACCAAGGCGACGACGGGUAGCCGGCCUGAGAGGGUGACCGGCCACACUGGGACUGAGACACGGCCCAGACUCCUACGGGAGGCAGCAGUGGGGAAUAUUGCGCAAUGGGCGAAAGCCUGACGCAGCGACGCCGCGUGGGGGAUGACGGCCUUCGGGUUGUAAACCUCUUUCACCCACGACGAAGCGCAAGUGACGGUAGUGGGAGAAGAAGCACCGGCCAACUACGUGCCAGCAGCCGCGGUAAUACGUAGGGUGCAAGCGUUGUCCGGAAUUAUUGGGCGUAAAGAGCUCGUAGGCGGUCUGUCGCGUCGGCUGUGAAAACCCGAGGCUCAACCUCGGGCCUGCAGUCGAUACGGGCAAACUUGAGUGUUGCAGGGGAGACUGGAAUUCCUGGUGUAGCGGUGAAAUGCGCAGAUAUCAGGAGGAACACCGGUGGCGAAGGCGGGUCUCUGGGCAACAACUGACGC